CAGGGCUCUAGAGUGCGACCAAUUUGGUCGCAAAUGCGACCAAAUUUUUCAGUGGUGCGACUAAAAAAAAUCUUUGGUCGCACCAGUGCGACCAACUGUUCGGGUAACAGAAAAAAAUAAAUAAAUCUCUGCAACUCUCCGUCUGGUCAACAACAGACACACAUUAUGCCCCUAUCAUGGACUAAACCAAUCAGAGAUAGUCAGGGGCGGGACCUCUCUGAUCGGCCGUGGUCCAGUUGAAAGUGCAGGUGGAAGAGGGAGGGACGAGAAUGGGCUGCACCCGAGUCAUGAAAGCCGGCACAGAUGCCGGGGCAGGAGUCCUGGAAAUGCGGGUGGCCCGGAUACCUGAGGCGGGAGUGCCCGCUGAUGGAGGUGGGUCAGGUGAUCUGCGUUGCCCUCCCCCGGUCCAAGAGAGAUGUUCAGUAUUCCGUGAGGCCGGAGCUGAGAGUGGACAGUGUGUGUUGGAGUGCAGCUCAGACGCUGCAUGCAUGGGUGCCAAACCUGAAAACCAAAAAACUGUCAACAGUGUGUGUUGUAAAUAAAGAGGAAAUAAAAACAGCCAGUGUGUCAGUUCGUGGUCCUUUCCACAGAAAUAUAUUCAAAAGUGUUUUAGAUGCUUACAUUUAUACAAAC
ensembl:lncRNA